rnacentral:rRNA from 1 species
GUUUUACCUAGUCGAGUUGUAAUUUUUUAGAAGCGUUUACCGCAUCCAGGUCGGCCCAAAUCCUUUGUUUUAAAAGUAUCAUGGAGGGUGAGAAUCCCGUCCGGUUGACCUCAGGAUGUUCUAGUUACGCUCUCUAAGAGUCAGUCUCUUAAGAAUUGCAGCUCAAAUGGAGGUAAUUUUCCCCUAGGUUAAUUCCGGCAAAUACCGUUGCAAACAUACCCGGGGGGAAAAAUGAAAA